rnacentral:rRNA from 1 species
AUGGAACAUCUGGAAGAGUUGAGUCUGUCAGACUCCAGUCGCAUGUCUUCUAAGUUGAGCAUAAACAAUUGCCCCAAGUUGAGGAUGGGGCCACUUCUUCCUAGAGCAGUUCGCAGCUUGAGGAUAGAAAGGAGUGAUAAUGUGCUGUCAUCAUGGGGAGAGUGUACAAUGUCAAGCACCGGUGCUUCCUCCUCCUCUUCUUCUUCAGUACUAUUAACUACUGCAACUAGUCUGACAGUUGUAGACAGUGAGCUGCCCAUGCAGCAGUGGAGACCGCUUCGCCACCUCUCUGGCCUCGAGAAUUUAUACAUCACGAGUUGUUCUGACCUGACAGUCUCCCCUGACAUCAUCCCACAUCUUUCCUCUGUUGAGCGUCUGUUCAUAAACAGAUGCGACAUCUCAUCACUGCCGCAUUGGGUCAUGGACUUGACCGGUCCCGAGCACCUUUGGAUCGGUGGUUGUGAAGGCAUCAGGUCUUUGCCGGAGGGCAUACAACAACUCCCCAAGCUCCGAAUACUUCGGAUUAGCAGAUGCCCUGGUUUGAAGAAGUGGAGCGAAUCCGAGGAAAACAAGAUGAAGCUCGCUCACAUAGAAAUUAAGGACUUUGAUUGA